rnacentral:misc_RNA from 1 species
AGAGAGAGAGAGAGAGAGAAGUAUUAUGGAAGAAUUUGAGGAGGUUCGUGAUAAAGGGUUAAAGGGUCUCUGGUAAGAAGUGAUGGUGGGACUGUCUGCCAAGCGUCCAUAGAUUAUUGGGAAUUGAUUUUGUGAAGACAGCUCUGCAUUUUGGCUAUAGGACAAGAUUUAUAUGCAAUUGUAAACAGGAUCACAUGAUGGUUGUAUGACUUUUAUCCUUUUCUGGUCCGUGAAAUUCCAUAACUGAGAAGAAAACUCCCAGCACAUGCAAGUAGAAUGGCAGCAAAAUAUUAUAAUAGUAGAUGAUUUGUUUUGAUUGCAUGUUAAUCAGUGAUUUACAGUGACAUUUAUUAUGUGGAAUCAUUGCUUUUUUGUGAGUUUGUGAUCCCCCAAAUUAUGGGAA